GGCGCACGCGACGUCGCGACGUCAAAAACACUUCGAACAAUUUCGAUUUAUCCAUGCCGAAAAAGUCUUUCCGCGUCGCGACACGAUUUAUCUAGUGAUAAACUUUCGAUCGUAGACCGGUAUUUCGCGAUAGUGCUUCGGGCUGUGCCAAUUGUAUAUUCGCGAGUGAUAUUUAAGUGACGUUUCAGAAAUAUUAAAUGUGAAUUUUGAUCUUUAACAGAAACAACGACGCGAGGAAUUCACGAGAUCACUUGAUGAAACAACUCCGAACUCCGAGGGAAUGAGCGUCGACGCAUGUACCCCUUCUCUUACACGCGUACAGAUACACGGAGAGAGCACAUUAACCAUUAAGCUCCAGCCCGUAACUGGCGUCGCGGCGGAAGAAGCAUGGCGACAGCGAAGCACGAUGAAGCCAUUCUUCUUUCCCAACAACAAGAAACGGUGCAAAUCUCGGAGAGUUAAAAAAGAAUAAAAAUUAAUUACGCCGUCCGUUAAUUACGGAACUUCCGUGGAGUAAGGGCGAAACAACAGCCAGUUGUCUCGCGGCAACUUGCUUCACUUUUGCUGAAAUCAAGUUUCAUGAACUUGAUUAGACGUUCCACGGGUAAAUUGAUAAGCUUUGAUGCAGUUGAUGCUGAAUUGUAGGUAUCGAAUAUUGUGGAAAUGAGCUACUUCGGACGAGGUCACGUCGCACAAUGGCUACGCGCGGAAAAAUAAAUCGAGAAAGGAAAGGAGAAAGAAGUCGCGAUUCCUUUUUCGAUGCCGUUUUUCACUUCUCGGCCCUUGCAUUUAGAUUUUCUUUGACUUCCAAAUGGGACGUAAUGUCGCGGAUACUCGAAAGUCUCUCAAAGUUAUUACGGUUUUCCUUGGGAUGGUAACUUUCGGGAGCUUUUGCAAUCUCCGAUAUACGUAGGCAACAUUAGAAGUUAAUUUGUAACUCGGUACUUUUUAUAAAUUUAAGUUUAUCAUGUCUUUCAAAAUAAAUUUUUUAAUGAGAAAUUCGUACUAUCUGCUUUGAUCGAUACAAAUCUUGUUUUGGUUAAUGCUGAAAAAGAGUUUUGUUCAAUAAACAAACAAAAAACUAUAGGUUUUGUUACAAUUUAUUGCAAAAAGGCUAAAUAUUGAUUCACAAUGUAUAAACGUGUAACAUCAAGGGGAAAAAAGCUAUCGCGUUAUAUUGUCCUUAAAACAUAAAAUUACUACGAUUCCACUUUCCAAGCUGUGAUGUUUUAUUUAUGCUUUCCAUUCAUUAAUAACCCACAAGUGUCCGAUAAUUUCGCGAGAUUAUUUCCGAACACGCGAAAGCUUUUAUUGUACUGCUACGAAAGUAACGACGGUGUUUCUCGGGAAAAGACACGAGUUAAGUUAGUUUAAAUAGGGAUGUUUCGGUUCGAUAGCAAAACUCGUGCCUUGUUUCCGGCUGUGAUCGCGAACUGAUAUCGCGGGUAAUUAAUCGCUAAAUGCGCGAAUAAGAAAAAUAGGGAACAACGAAUUCGCGACCGAGCGUAAUGUAAAUGGAAGAGUUAUGUACGAGCUAAACGAAGGGUGGAAGUCGAGGAAGGGGGAACGCCAUUUACUCCCCCCUCUCAAACUUUGUCCUUUCCCUCGUGCGACUUCCUCCUAAGGAAAAGCGACUUCGAGAGGGCUUUCAUCUUGUGGCCGAUUCGCUAAGAGGAAAGUUCGUUGUAUGAAAAAUAUAGCAAGCAGACGAUAAUCAGGUAGUAUUCUUUUCUAAGAUUGCAUCUCUCGUAAAAAUCGGGAAGAUUGAACAAGUUGAGUCUUUUUGCGUUUUCCUAGCUGUGUAAACUCUUCUUUACACAGUUAUAUCUUACCCCACUAUUACUCUGACAUUCUCUUACGAAA